rnacentral:rRNA from 1 species
UACGGAGGGUGCGAGCGUUGUCCGGAAUCACUGGGCGUAAAGGGCGCGUAGGUGGCGCCGCAAGUCAACGGUGAAAGCUCGACGCUUAACGUCGAGUCGGCCGUCGAGACUGCGGGGCUCGAGCACUGUAGAGGCUCAUGGAAUUCCGGGUGUAGCGGUGGAAUGCGUAGAGAUCCGGAAGAACACCGGUGGCGAAGGCGGUGAGCUGGGCAGUUGCUGACACUGAGGCACGAAAGCGUGGGGAGCAAACAGG